rnacentral:rRNA from 1 species
UUAAGUCUUGACGAGUAAGAGGGUCGCGACGGUGAGCGCAGAAGGGUCAGGGCGAGAGCCUGCCUGGAGCCGCCGUUGGUGCAGAUCUUGGUGGUAGUAGCAAAUACUCUAGCGAGGGCCUGGAGGACUGACGUGGAGAAGGGUUUCUUGUGAACAGCCGUUGCACAAGAGUCAGUCGACCCUGAGCCCUAGGAGAAAUCCGAUGACGAUGGGUGGCUUGACAAUACAACAAUCCACAGACUGUUUCUGUAGCGUUGAUCUUUGUUGUCAUGUGAUUUUGGCUGCUUGUAUACACUACCUGCCAUAGUAGUUGUGUCGUGGCUGCACUGACUUCAAGUUGACACACUGAACAGCUCCUAUCGGGCAAAAGGGAAUCCGGUUCCUAUUCCGGAACCCGGCUGCGUAACCGCUACUUUGCGGGCACUUGCUUGCGAGCGCUCGUCGGGGUAACCCAAACUGGCCUGGAGACGCCGGCGGGGGGUCUGGAAAGAGUUUUCUUUUCUUUAUAAGCGUUCGAGUACCCUGGAAUCCUAUAGCAGGGAGAUAGGGUUUGGAACGCGAAGAGCACCGCAGUUGCGGCGGUGUCCGGACCUUCCCCCCGGACCUUGAAAAUCCAGGUGAGGGCCACGCGGAAGUCGCGCCGG